rnacentral:lncRNA from 1 species
GAGGGGAAGGGGAGGGGAGGCGCAUUUGAGUGAGGAAGAGCAUAGAUGGAGAAACAGGUAGGAAGAUGGCCACUAGGAGUGGAAUGGAUUGGAGUGGAGAAGUUGGCAACAAGGAGCAGGCCUUGUGUCACAAUGUCCAAGAGAUUAAAGGGGAUGCAAACCAAGUGCCAAAAAGUGGGACAGGAUAGUUGGUGGCAUGUGUCUCUUGUUCCAUGGUUUGAGCCCACCAUAGUACUCCACCAUGCAGCUUUGAUGUUAGACCUUUUUGUUUUGUGUAUGAGUGGGUACAUGUGGAUUAAAUAUAGACUCCAUUAAAUUUUGCAAAGAAAGAAAAACUUCAUCUAGGCUUCUCAUAGAAUUGCAUAACAAAGUGCCUGCCACUGAAAAGAAGUCCCAAAGCUGACCUUUUUUCCUCUCAAUAAUCAGUGACCCACAAACUUCAUAGUAAAUGUGUCCACAAUUUUCAUGCCUCAAAUUCAAGACAUAAUACGGUCAUGUUACCAAACGAUACAACCUAUGAUAAUACGACGCUAACCAUUACAUUUUAACUUCUAAAUCCAUCGCAAACAAAAUAUAAUAAUUGAAAGUCCAAUUUCAUCAUCCAUUAAAUAAAACCAAUACAGGUUCAUAGUGUCUAAAUCCAAACAUAAAUACUAAACCCAUAAUUCUUAAUAUUUAAAAAAUUAUUAACUACAAAUUCAUAGUCAAUUAAAAUAUUA